AAGCUCGUAGUUGAAUUUCGGGAUUGACACAUCGGUCGUGCCUUAAGGGGCGUGAACUGGUGUAGUCAAUUUCUCACCUUCUGGAGAACCGCGAUGCCCUUAAUUGGGUGUCACGGGGGAACCAGGACCUUUACUUUGAAAAAAUUAGAGUGUUUAAAGCAGGCAUUUUGCUUGAAUACGUUAGCAUGGAAUAAUAAAAUAGGACGGCAUGAUUCUAUUUUGUUGGUUUCUAGGAUCACCGUAAUGAUUAAUAGGGAUAGUUGGG
rnacentral:rRNA from 1 species